rnacentral:rRNA from 1 species
AGCGGCGUAAGGGAGAGUAACGCGUGGUUAAUGUGCCCCUGGGACCGGGAUAGCGUCGGGAAACUGGCGGUAAUACCGGGUGAUAUCUGAGGAUCAAAGGUGAGAUUCCGCCCAGGGAUCGGACCGCGUUCUAUUAGCUAGUUGGCGGGGUAAUGGCCCACCAAGGCGAAGAUGGAUACCGGGUGUGAGAGCAUGGCCCGGCUCACUGGGACUGAGACACUGCCCAGACACCUACGGGUGGCUGCAGUCGAGAAUCUUCGGCAAUGGGCGAAAGCCUGACCGAGCGACGCCGCGUGCGGGAUGAAGGCCCUCGGGUUGUAAACCGCUGUCAGUUGGGAGGAAAUGUCAGAGGGUUCUCCCUUUGGCUUGACCGAUCUUCAGAGGAAGGACGGGCUAAGUUCGUGCCAGCAGCCGCGGUAAGACGAACCGUCCAAACGUUAUUCGGUAUCACUGGGCUUAAAGCGUUCGUAGGCGGCCUAGUAGGUGAGGUGUGAAAGCCCUCGGCCCAACCGAGGAAUUGCGCUUCAAACCACUAGGCUCGAGGGAGACAGGGGUGAUGGGAACUGUUGGUGGAGCGGUGAAAUGCGUUGAUAUCAACAGGAACACCGGUGGCGAAAGCGCAUCACUGGGUCUUUACUGACGCUGAGGAACGAAAGCUAGGGGAGCGAACGGGAUUAGAUACCCCGGUAGUCCU